rnacentral:misc_RNA from 1 species
AAAAAGAUGGCGACUUCCAAAGAUUUUGGUUUGAUACCUUCUUUUCUUUUUUAAAUUCCUUAAAGAUGUCGUUGGAGUCUGAUGCCAGGGCAGUUUCCUGCCGAAAGGCAUUGAAGGUUGCGGUCAGUGCCCUAGCAUCAGAGGCAGGAUUUGAAAGGGCCGAGGAAGCGGCCGUGGAGACCCUAACAGAAAUGCUCCAGAGCUUUUUAACAGAACUAGGACGGAGCUCACAAGCCUUUGCUGAGUUGGCCUGGUAGAACAGAAGGAAUGAUGACAGAUGUUGUUAUGGCUCUCAUUGAAAUGGGUCAAAAUCUUCAAGGUUUACCAGCGCAUGCCAAAAGACCAAACAAAUCUGUCUUCCUCCCUCCUUCACACAGCACCCCCACCCCCAAUCCGAGGACAUUACAGGCUGGAGACAAGAUGCCACACCCCUCCCAUAUCCCUGACCACAUGCCAGCAUUCCCCGACCCUCACACCUACAUCAGGACACUGACACAAAAAGCUCCAAUAAAUGAGUACCAGAUUAUUCGAGAAAAGGCAGCGUCACAAAAACGGGAUGUGGAGCGAGCCCUGACUCGAUUCAUUGCCAAAACAGGGGAAACUCAGUCACUCAUCAGAGAUGAAGCCAAUCUAUUUCCAUUGAUAGCUGUAACACCUCAUCCUCUGCCUUAUCUUAAUGCACUCCUACCAAAGGAUCAGGAUCUCCUGGCACAGGAGGAGGAAGCACAGCCUACUCCUUCUGGAAAAUCAUCAAAGUCCUCUCAGGGAGGGGCCAAGGAUGGGGAGACAAACGAUCAGGAGGGGGAGACCACUGACCCCGAGGCCAUAGACAAUCCCUACCUACGCCCCGUCAAGAUGGCCAGGUACCGCAAGAAAGGAGGUGGAGGGAACUGAGGACUAGAACUGUUGUGUUCCUUAGAGGAACUAAAUGAAUGAUUAAACUCUGCAUGUGGUCAGCUGAAAAUAAGAAAUUUGAGUGAAAUUCAGCGACAAGGACAGCAGAAACUUUGGACUCUUCAAUGCUGCUGUCAGAAAUGGUGGUCUGAGAAAGCUGAAGUGAAGUUCAGAUAGAAGACUUCAGUGUCUAGGAGGACAGAUCAGUGCAAUGCUUUCUGAACUGGAAGUGUUGAAGCAUGUGAAAAUGUAUGUAAACUAGGAAGUCUCUUGACAGAAUGCAAUUUCAGUUUGAUUUUACAUGUCAUAUGCCCUUAUUUGGAGCAUGCAAUUGUAAAGCAGAUUGCUGCACUACAGUUGAAAUUGAUCUAUUUUAUCUGUCGCCGUAACUGAAAUACACCUGAGAGUCUGUAAAUACUGAAUUAUUAAGUGUAUAUUCAAUAACAUUCAAAUCUGUCUAAAGCAACAUUUAUUUUCUGAAAUUAAUUUUAAAAAAACCACUUGUACAUGUUUCAAUUGCGUAAAAUUGCAUUUGCUAUAUAUUUGAUGAAAAUGAUGUAUAUAUAUAUAAGUCUGAC